GUGCCAGCAGCAGCAAAGGAGAAACUAAAGCUCGGCCUAAAAGGCAAAAAGCUGGAAAAGCCAAGUAUUCAUUCAACGACUCUGAAGAGGAGGAUGAAUGGAUCCCACGAAAAAUAAAAGAAGCUCCUCCGACAUGCAAUGUUGUGGAUGAUGAUCAGUUUGCCAUGGCUCUCUUUGGCACUGCCCCAGCUGUGAAGGAAAAAACAAAGA